AUGAACGCUGGCGGCGUGCCUAACCCAUGUAAGUCGAGCGAUUCAUUAGCAAUAGUGAAGAGCGGCGGAAGGGUGAGUAACACGUAGGAGACCUACCUCAUCGCAGGGAACAACUUCGCGAAAGCGGAGCUAAUACCCAGAAGGCUCAUGGCUUCGGUGUCAUGAGGAGAGUACCGGGAAACUGGUGCGUGAUGAGAGGGUCCUGCGGCCCAUCAGCUCGUUGGUAGGGUAGUGGCCUACCAAGGCAACGACGGGUAGGGGGUCUGAGAGGACGAUCCCCCACACUGGAACUGAAACACGGUCCAGACGCCUACGGGUGGCAGCAGGGAGGAAUAUUGGGCAAUGGACGAAAGUCUGACCCAGCAACGCCGCGUGGAGGAUGAAGGCCUUCGGGUCGUAAACUCCUUUUGAGGGAGAAGAGCAAGGACGGUAUCCCUCGAAUAAGCCACGGCUAACUACGU
rnacentral:rRNA from 1 species